UACGUAGGGGGCUAGCGUUGUCCGGAUUUAUUGGGCGUAAAGAGCGUGUAGGCGGCCCGGUAAGUCCGCUGUGAAAGUCGAGGGCUCAACCCUCGAAUGCCGGCGGAUACUGUCGGGCUAGAGUCCGGAAGAGGCGAGUGGAAUUCCUGGUGUAGCGGUGAAAUGCGCAGAUAUCAGGAGGAACACCUACGGCGAAGGCAGCUCGCUGGGACGGUACUGACGCUGAGGCGCGAAAGCGUGGGGAGCGAACAGG
rnacentral:rRNA from 1 species